UACUCUCUCACUCUCACGCGUCUACCGCGUUCCUGUGUAGCGUUUUAUUCAAAAGUGACUGUGAAUAAGUAACGUGAGAAAUGGAGAAAAAAACUCGGACGAAGUAGUCAUUAAUUCAAUUUUUUAACGAAAAACGAAUUUUGAAAAUCGAGAUUUUCUACAACGUGAACUAAUAUAAUUUUACCAAAUGAAAAAAUAUAACAAUAUAAAGGAGUAUAUCAAUUUGAAUCCUGUUGGACAUUUAGAAGACAGUUACAAAACGUUUUAAGUAUUGUAUCAAAAAUUUAAAUAUAAAUAAAUGUUCAAAAAAAGCAAAUGCUCGUGUUUGCAAAUAAAGAAGUAACAAGUGAAAGAAUUCGAGCAAGCAAUAGCUGACCUAUUGGAAAUCCAACAAAAAGUCGUUCGUGCCAGUUUCGAUUCCGCUAAGAUUACAAAUUUUAAGAAAGCAAAGAUAUGAUAUAGAAUGGGUAUAUAAGUGUCUUCUAAUUAGAAUUAAAAGCCCCGCAGUAUAUGACCAACUUGGAAAAGAUACUUUAAAUCUUACAUCCAAAAAUUGAAUAGUGUUUUCGGUUUCCUAAAUUAUUCUUCAUGUAACUAUCGAAUUGCUGUUGUCUCUUCCUCUUUAGCUUUAUC
rnacentral:lncRNA from 1 species